GGCGCAGUGGCGGAGUGGUCUAACGCGAUAGACUAGAACAAUUUCUGAGAAUGCCUGUCUGGUGUUCCUCAGUAGGUCUCUAGCCCAUCUAUUCCCUUCGGGGGCGUCUGUUCGAAUCAGGCCUGCGUCG